UAAGAUUUAGACAUUUAUAAAUCAAUCCUGGGAAUGAAUAACUUGAAUCUAGGGCAGAGUAGGAAAAAAAUUUUCAUGUUCUCUUUGUACCCCACAAACAAUCUAAGCUGUAGCCUGUAGAAAAUGUUGAUCCAAUAAUAACUUCCAUAUUUACCAAUCUUUCAGUUGCAUAAUCAGCUCACUUAAUUGGGGAAAAUAUAAUAGUUCACAUGGAGUGAAAUAAUGGAAUUGACUAUAAAUGAAUGUGUGAAAAUAAUAUUUAUCUUUAUGACCAGUAGUGGUGAGACUGGCUAUUAUAAAAUAUAAUGUUCUUUGAAACAGUGUUUUACGAAGUCAAAAUAUUUGAAACCCAACUUCCAGAAAAUCUUUGUGAUUUCUGCUUUUCUCUUUUCUCUUCUGUCUCCCACCGCACAUGAGGCACAAGAUCAGCUGAUACCAUGGGCUGGUGUCGUGAAAGCUCUUCGGUGCCAACCCUCAACAAAGCCAAGUCAGAUACGGUGCCUACCAGAUUGUAGAGUCUGAGCUUCCUAAUGGUGGAAAACCUUCUGGCGGUGGCAUCAGGUGUAACUAUGGCAACCUUGGAAGGGUGCCUUUUCCUGAGAGGCUAUUGUAUAGCCAGCUUUGAACAUCUCCAGUAAAGGGACUUACUACCUCACAUUGCCUCCCCUUCCAUUUUCAGUUUGUAAAUAAUUAAAUGAACACAACUGAGGAGAAUAAACCACUGUUGCAUCUUGGCCCAAAGCUCAACUAUAACCUAAGAGUCUAUCGGAUGACGCCACUGCCGGAUUCUCAGGUUGGGUCAAACGCUCCUUUUUUCCACUCCGCCGGCACCGUUCUAUCUGAAAGUAACUUGAGCAAAUUGCAAGUUUG
rnacentral:lncRNA from 1 species